rnacentral:rRNA from 1 species
UACAGAGGGGGCAAGCGUUGUUCGGAAUUACUGGGCGUAAAGGGCGCGUAGGCGGCCUGUUAAGUCGAACGUGAAAUCCCCGGACUCAACCCGGGAACUGCGUCCGAUACUGGCAGGCUUGAAUUCGGGAGAGGGAUGCGGAAUUCCAGGUGUAGCGGUGAAAUGCGUAGAUAUCUGGAGGAACACCGGUGGCGAAGGCGGCAUCCUGGACCGAGAUUGACGCUGAUGCGCGAAAGCCAGGGGAGCAAACGGG